rnacentral:rRNA from 1 species
AAUCAACGCUGGCGGCGUGCCUAACACAUGCAAGUCGAACGAAGGCUUCGGCCUUAGUGGCGCACGGGUGCGUAACGCGUGGGAAUCUGCCCUUGGGUUCGGAAUAACUCAGAGAAAUUUGAGCUAAUACCGGAUGAUGACGUAAGUCCAAAGAUUUAUCGCCCAAGGAUGAGCCCGCGUAAGAUUAGCUAGUUGGUGGGGUAAAGGCCUACCAAGGCGACGAUCUUUAGCUGGUCUGAGAGGAUGAUCAGCCACACUGGGACUGAGACACGGCCCAGACUCCUACGGGAGGCAGCAGUGGGGAAUAUUGGACAAUGGGCGAAAGCCUGAUCCAGCAAUGCCGCGUGAGUGAUGAAGGCCUUAGGGUUGUAAAGCUCUUUUACCAGGGAUGAUAAUGACAGUACCUGGAGAAUAAGCUCCGGCUAACUCCGUG